CGGAAGAUUCCCUUAAAGCAUACCUCUGUACACACGGUAAUUUUGUGCUUUGGCAUUGACGGUGAUCCUUGGCUAACUCCAAAGAAAGCCAAGUUCUCAGGCAGCCUAACUUUAGGAAGGAAGAAGACAAGACUGGAUACUAUAAAGACUGUGUAAAGUUUCAGUAAAUGUCAACUUCAGGCUGUGACGCCUGAACACUCUCGCGGACCCAUAGGAGAGUCACCCGGGAUGCUCUCUGAGGCUGAAGAAUAAAUAGCCCUGCUGACCCCCGCAGUCUUCAGCCACCACCUCUGUGGGAAAGGACACCGCCCGGCGCGCCCCCCUGGGCUGGAGGUGCCAGGCCCGUGCGAGUGUUCGCGCUCCCACCAUGUCUACCGGUCCAGGCACAAGCAACAGUUGUGCCUGCCAGCAGCAAUCAGAUCCCAGAGCGCCUCUCUCGCCUUUCACGGUUCUCAGCAGGGUGCCUCACCCGAGCAGGCGGCGUCCGAGUAAACGCCUCCUCCAGGCAGUCCUCGGGUAACAGGCCAGGGAGAAAACUGUGACCAGGACCGUGAAAGCUGACUUGACCUUUUCAGGUCCCCGAACACCAUCUCGACCCCCACGGCCCCGCCUCGUUGAAAAGCGGCCUGUGUCUGGGCAUCAGGCCCUGCAGUAGGAAGACCUUAUAUGAAGGAUGCCUUAAGUGUUCCUCGUUGGUAAGAUCCCGGAAUCUUGGAGGCAUUUAGCCUUGUUCUCUACUUGCCUCUUGUUUUUAUCACAC